rnacentral:lncRNA from 1 species
GGCAGAGAGCGACACGUGUUGGGGGCAAAAUGGUCCAAACGGAGACGUUAAAUUGUUGGAGAGCGCGUGCAUAGGGAAUCAAGUAGAAGCGUGUACGGAUGGAAGCAAACAGCAGACUGACUUCCGUACUAUGUUAUUGCAAGUCUUUCCUUUGUACCAAAUAUUUGGUGACCCCACUUCUUCCCCAUAGCGUCUGAAGUAAGCUUCAACUUUGGCUUUCCAUUAUUGAAGUUCGGCUUUCACUAUGGACCCGAAUACCGGAUGACACAAUGUAACUACAUUCAUUUUAUAUUCAUUUUUACAUUACAUAUGCAUGUCAUUCUUUUUAGUGGUUGCACCUUAUAUUCGUGAACUAUCUGCAGAAAAAAAAUAAAAUUUUAGACUAUACUAAAUUUGUUAUACCAAAUAUGUUAUUCUUAUUAUUGUAUUAUUUGUUACGCCACUUUUCUCAUUUUGUUAGGUCUACAUUAAUGCAAGUUUAAUUCUUAUUAUGUCUCGUGUAUCAGAAAAUACAUAUUAUCUUAUUGACGUUGAUACGUCCAAUAGGUAAUCAAAUUGAUGCUAAAAUUUUAGAAUGAAUAAGUUGCUUUUGCAUAAUGGUUGUAAAGGUUUCUUGAGACUUUAUGAAUUAUUCUUCUUGCGUUUGCAAAAACAAUUGCAGAAGAUUUUUUGUAGUGGAAACGGAGUUAAAACUUGCUAUAAGUUACUUUCCUGUAUUUCAAUUUUAUCCUAAAGGGUAAUUUGCUGUUCAACCUAAUUUUAUUCCAAUUUUAUCCAACUAGUAAAUUAACUUAUGAAAAAUAGUGAAGUGGAUAAUUUAUGGAGGCAAGCCGUAAAUAGUGGGUGGUUAACUGUAAAACGCCUUUAUGUUUAUUUUAUUUCGAUAAAUAAAUUUGUUUUUGAGAAAAUGGGUACUCUUUCCUUAUAAUGCAGGAAAGCCAUAAACAGCGACUGUUUUAUUAGAAAACGGGCUUAUUUUCUUUUUUUUUUCGAAAAGAAAAUUUGUUUUUGGAAAAAUGAGUGUUAAAAUAAAUUUUCUUUUAAUCCGAUCAAUAAAUUUUAUCUAGACAUCCAUACAAAAAUUUAUUUAUCGGAUAAAAUAAAAAUAAACCUGUUUUUGAAUACAACACUAGCUCUUUAUGGCUUUCCGCCAUUAUAAGAAUAGAGUACACAUUUUUCCAUAAAAAAAAUUUAUGGAUAAAAUAAAAUUCUGCAUAAACCCAUUUUCCAAUAAAACACUACCUCUUUAUGACUUUCCUCCAUUAUAAGAACACAGUGCCCGUUUUUCUCAUAAAAAAUUUUAUUUAUCGGAUCAAAUAAAAAUAAACCCGUUUUUCAAUAAAACACUAGCUCUUUAUGACUUUUUUCCAUUAUAAGAACAGCGUACCCAUUUUUCUAUAAAUAAAACAUUUUAUUUAUCGGCUAAACUAAAAAUAAACACAUUUUUCUAUAAAAUACUAGCUCUUCCUGACUUUCCUCCAUUAUAAGAAUAGAGUACCCAUUUUUGCAUACAAAAAUUUUAUUUAUCGGAUAAAAUAAAAAUAGAUCCUUUUUGAAUAAAACACUAGCUCUUUAUGACAUUCCUCCAUUAUAAGAACAGAGUACCCAUUUUUCAUAAACUAAUUUAUUUAUUUGAUAAAAUAAAAAUAAAUCUAUUUUUCAAAAUAAGCACCAGCUACUUAUAGCUUUCCUCCAUAAAUUAUCUAUUUUCUUAAGUUAAUUUAUUAGUUGGAUAUAAUCAGAAAAAAAUUAGGUUCAACAGAAAAUUACCCUUUACGAUAAGAUUGAAAUACAGGAAAGUAACCUAUAGCAAGUUUUAACUCCAUUUCCAAUACAAAAAAUCUUCUGAAAUUCUUUUUGCAAACGCAAGACACCUAAUUCAUAAAGUCUCAAGAAACCUUUACAACCGUUAUGCAAAAGCAACUUAUUCAUUCUAAAUUUUUACCAUCAAUUUGAUUAUCUGUUGCACGUAUCCACCUGAAUAGGAUAUUAUGUAUUUUCUGGGACACGAGACAUAAUAACAAUUACACUUGUAUUAAUGUAGACCCAACAAAAUGAGAGAAAUAGCGUAACAAUUAAUACACUAAUAAGAAUAACAGAGUUGGUAUAACAAAAUUAGUAUAGUCCAGAAUUUUUUUUUCUGCAGAUAGUUCAUGAAUAUGAGAUUGAACCACU